CCAUCAUGGCGACCAUCCAAAGGCUAAACAUCAUAGGCAGUCGGGAGGGUAGUCGGAACCGAAGAAGACUCAAAGCGAACCAAACAGGCAAAAAAUUUAGGGUCGGCAUCAAAAGCAAUAUCAGCACCAACAGAAACAACCUGAUUAGCGGCGUUGACAGAUGUAUCCAUCUGAAUGCAAUGAAGAAAACCACCAUUACCAGCAUUAACCGUCAAA
rnacentral:rRNA from 1 species